AGCGAACGCUGGCGGCAGGCCUAACACAUGCAAGUCGAACGAAGCCUUCGGGCUUAGUGGCGGACGGGUGAGUAACACGUGGGAACGUACCCUUUGGUUCGGAACAACUCAGGGAAACUUGAGCUAAUACCGGAUGAGCCCUUAGGGGGAAAGAUUUAUCGCCGAAAGAGCGGCCCGCGUUAGAUUAGCUAGUUGGUGAGGUAAAGGCACACCAAGGCAACGAACUAUAGCUGGUCUGAGAGGAUGAUCAGCCACACUGGGACUGAGACACGGCCCAGACUCCUACGGGAGGCAGCAGUGGGGAAUCUUGCGCAAUAGGCGAAAGCCUGACGCAGCCAUGCCGCGUGAAUGAUGAAGGUCUUAGGAUUGUAAAAUUCUUUUACCAGGGACGAUAAUGACGGUACCUGGAGAAAAAGCCCCGGCUAACUUCGUGCCAGCCGCCGCCGUAACAC
rnacentral:rRNA from 1 species